rnacentral:rRNA from 1 species
UACGUAGGGACCAAGCGUUGUUCGGAUUUACUGGGCGUAAAGGGCGCGUAGGCGGUGCGGUAAGUCACUUGUGAAAUCUCCGGGCUUAACUCGGAACGGCCAAGUGAAACUGUCAAGCUAGAGUGCAGAAGGGGCAAUCGGAAUUCUUGGUGUAGCGGUGAAAUGCGUAGAUAUCAAGAGGAACACCUGAGGUGAAGACGGGUUGCUGGGCUGACACUGACGCUGAGGCGCGAAAGCCAGGGGAGCAAACGGG